AAAGGCAGUGGCGUGGAUGCAGCACAAAGCCCUAAUGGAAAACCCUAAAGCGUCUGGUUCUGGUGCCUAUAUAAUGAAAAGCCUAAGCCUUAGAACCGCACCAGGCGGCGAGACAAGCCCUAACAUUUCAUCUCUCUGUCUUCUCCCCUCUGUCUGCUUCUUCUCCGCUCUUGCUUGAUGAACAAUUUUGUUCUUUAUUUAGAAUAUGAUUUUGAUUUUUCUGCUGUUUUAUGUACGUCUGCUUAUUUUCGCUUCGAUUCUGAGCUGAUAUGAAGUUCUAUGUAAAUCUGUGAACAAUCGAAGUCAUAGCCGUGUCUUUGCUGUCGAUAAACAUCAUAAAGAAGUGGCCCCAGUUUGAUCGUAAGGCCUCUAUUAAGGUGUAAUUGAUAAUGCUACUGAUUAUUCUCCUUCAUUUUCAUAGUUCCUCAUGUUGAAUGCUGCAUUUUUGACGGUCUUGCUGGAUUCACAAGGGAAAUGAUGAUAGUAUUUGUCGCCCCAGUCUUAUUCGCAUUUACUGAUGCGAGAUGGUGACUGACAUUAUAUCUGAUUCCAUUCAUGGAUGAAAAUUUUUUUAUUCAAUAUUAUUACUAACCCGCAUUUGUGUUUUUUUUUUUUUUGAAGUUUUUUUCUCAAGAAUUUGAUCUUUGGAUAUGCAAAAAGGCGUGAUGAUACGUACCCAUCGAUUCUGUAUUUGAAUGAUGAAUAUUAACAUGCACUACCAUCUGAUCUCUAUUGCACAUCCAUAUACUAACCAUCCCUUAUUUUUAGUUUAAUGCAUUUUCUCCAAUUUAUAAUUUUUGGAACACAACGUCUUAUACUCAGUAGUAUGAUUCUGCAAUCUAUGAUGAAAAUUAUCCAUUGCUCCUGAUUUGAAAGUGAUUAUUAUACCAAUAUCACCAUCUUUCGGCUGAGAUUUGCAGAUAUACAUAAAUUUAUUCUCUCUUUUAUUUUCCUGUUUAGAAUUUGAACUUGUUUGCCCAUGGUAUCUGACACCCAUGCUAUUUUCUAUGGAUGGGUGUUUCGUUUUUAAGGGCAUAGAUUGAAAGUGUGAACAGGCCUUGCGACACAGCUUGCUCAAUUUUUUUAAUGGGCUUCCUGUUACUUUAAUCCUGCUUACAUUUGUCCAUCAUCCCAUCAUAUUUUAAAUUCUUUUAAAUAUAUUCAUUAUCGAUUUAAUGGCAUCAAAUUUUUAAAGUUUAUUAUAUAAAAUUGCAACUUUAAGCGCCGAGCCUAGUAAAUUUUGGUUGAUGUAUUAGGCCAUAUCCAUAUUCCAAAGUAUCUUCAAGCACUUUAUUUUUCUUUAUUUCUCUGCUUGGAAAUAUGGGUUUGACGUUUUGGAUUUAGAUAUGUAUUAAUUUGAAUAAGUUUUUAUAUAAUUUUGUAUUACAUCUUAUGCAAUAUUUCAAAUUCAAGGUGACUCGACCGAGUUGCCUCCACCAUCCAUAUUAUGUUUAUGAAUCAAAUUUUUUUGCUGCCAAAUCUAUCAUAAGCCAAAAGGGUAUUUAUUUCUGAUUCAAUUUUGCUAUGACUUGACAAAAAUUAGUCGUGCACAAUGGUGAAGUGCUGGAGUUGAUGGUGCAGAGGAAGUGUGAAAAGCUACCCUUGUUGGAAUUGAAUAGAUUCUUCAUUGUUCAUUGUAUAUAUUGGUACCAAAUCUCAUGCUUUUAUUUCAUUUGGGUUUGUGCCUGUUGCAGAGCUUGCCAUGUUGCGCACAGCCGGGGAGGAUCAAUGAGCUUGUUCAAAUUCUUUUUAAAUUUUUUUGUCCAUAUUCUGAAACAUGCAAGGUACCCCUCAUUAGAUAGGGGAUUUUUUUCGUUUCUUUUUUUAAAUUACUUCUUAUUAAUGAAUUUAUUCAUCUUAUUUA